GACGAACGCUGGCGGCGUGCUUAACACAUGCAAGUCGAGCGGUAAGGCCCUUUCGGGGGUACACGAGCGGCGAACGGGUGAGUAACACGUGGGUGACCUGCCCUCAGCUCUGGGAUAAGCCUGGGAAACCGGGUCUAAUACCGGAUAUGACUCCAUGACGCAUGUUGUGGGGUGGAAAGCCUUGUGCGGCUGAGGAUGGGCCCGCGGCCUAUCAGCUUGUUGGCGGGGUGANGGCCUACCAAGGCGACGACGGGUAGCCGGCCUGAGAGGGCGACCGGCCACACUGGGACUGAGACACGGCCCAGACUCCUACGGGAGGCAGCAGUGGGGAAUCUUGCGCAAUGGGCGAAAGCCUGACGCAGCGACGCCGCGUGAGGGAUGACGGCCU
rnacentral:rRNA from 1 species